rnacentral:rRNA from 1 species
GUUUGAUCCUGGCUCAGGAUGAGCGCUGGCGGCGUGCCUAAUACAUGCAAGUCGAGCGAACCCUUCGGGGUUAGCGGCGGACGGGUGAGUAACACGUGGGUAACCUGCCUAUAAGACUGGGAUAACUUCGGGAAACCGUAGCUAAUACCGGAUAUAUUUUUGGUUCACAUGAACCAAAAUGGAAAGGCGGCUUUUGCUGUCACUUAUAGAUGGACCCGCGGCGCAUUAGCUAGUUGGUGAGGUAACGGCUCACCAAGGCGACGAUGCGUAGCCGACCUGAGAGGGUGAUCGGCCACACUGGGACUGAGACACGGCCCAGACUCCUACGGGAGGCAGCAGUAGGGAAUCUUCGGCAAUGGGCGAAAGCCUGACCGAGCAACGCCGCGUGAGCGAUGAAGGCCUUCGGGUCGUAAAGCUCUGUUGUUAGGGAAGAACAAGUAUCAGUUAAAUAAGCUGGUACCUUGACGGUACCUAACGAGAAAGCCACGGCUAACUACGUGCCAGCAGCCGCGGUAAUACGUAGGUGGCGAGCGUUGUCCGGAAUUAUUGGGCGUAAAGCGCGCGC